UGGGGAAUAUUGGACAAUGGGCGAAAGCCUGAUCCAGCCAUGCCGCGUGAGUGAUGAAGGCCCUAGGGUUGUAAAGCUCUUUCAACGGUGAAGAUAAUGACGGUAGCCGUAGAAGAAGCCCCGGCUAACUUCGUGCCAGCAGCCGCGGUAAUACGAAGGGGGCUAGCGUUGUUCGGAAUUACUGGGCGUAAAGCGCACGCAGGCGGAUUGUUUAGUGAGGGGUGAAAUCCCGGGGCUCAACCCUGGAACUGCCCUUCAUACUGGCAGUCUCGAGUUCGGGAGAGGUGAGUGGAAUUCCGAGUGUAGAGGUGAAAUUCGUAGAUAUUCGGAAGAACACCAGUGGCGAAGGCGGCUCACUGGCCCGAAACUGACGCUGAGGUGCGAAAGCGUGGGGAGCAAACAGGAUUAGAUACCCCCGUAGUCC
rnacentral:rRNA from 1 species